UACGAAGGGGGCUAGCGUUGCUCGGAAUGACUGGGCGUAAAGGGCGCGUAGGCGGAUUGUACAGUCAGGCGUGAAAUUCUCGGGCUCAACCUGGGGGCUGCGCUUGAGACGUGCGAUCUUGAGUGGGGAAGAGGGUCGUGGAAUUCCCAGUGUAGAGGUGAAAUUCGUAGAUAUUGGGAAGAACACCGGUGGCGAAGGCGGCGACCUGGUCCUUGACUGACGCUGAGGCGCGAAAGCGUGGGGAGCAAACAGG
rnacentral:rRNA from 1 species